UACGUAGGGUGCAAGCGUUAAUCGGAAUUACUGGGCGUAAAGCGUGCGCAGGCGGUUCUAUAAGACAGAUGUGAAAUCCCCGGGCUCAACCUGGGAACUGCAUUUGUGACUGUAGAGCUGGAGUGCGGCAGAGGGGGAUGGAAUUCCGCGUGUAGCAGUGAAAUGCGUAGAUAUGCGGAGGAACACCAAUGGCGAAGGCAAUCUCCUGGACCUGCACUGACGCUCAUGCACGAAAGCGUGGGGAGCAAACAGG
rnacentral:rRNA from 1 species